rnacentral:rRNA from 1 species
GACGAACGCUGGCGGCGUGCCUAACACAUGCAAGUCGAGCGGAGCGGCGAACGGGUGAGUAACGCGUGAGUAACUGCCCCCCUCCCUGGGAUAACAGUUGGAAACGGCUGCUAAUACCGGAUAGUGGGGGAUGACUCGCGUCCUAUCAGCUUGGUGGUGGGGUAGUGGCCUACCAAGGCGACGACGGGUAGCCGGCCUGAGAGGGCGACCGGCCACAGUGGGCUGAGAUACGGCCCAAACUCCUACGGUAGGCAGCAGUAGGGAAUCGUCCGCAAUGGGCGCAAGCCUGACGGAGCAAGGCGCGUGAGGGAUGACGGCCUUCGGGUUGUAAACCGCUUUCAGCCAUGACGCGGUAGUGGCAGAAGAAGCACCGGCUAACUACGUGCCAGCAGCCGCGGUAAUAC